GGCUCGCCCACGGUUUUGACCUGAAGAAAUUUAGAGUCAACUUGAAAUUUUGGAACGUCUCCUUUAGGGGAGACAAA
rnacentral:snRNA from 13 species